rnacentral:misc_RNA from 1 species
GAUGAAGAACGUAGUAAAAUGCGAUACUUGGUGUGAAUUGCAGAAUCCCGUGAACCAUCGAGUUUUUGAACGCAAGUUGCGCCCGAAGCCUUUUGGCCGAGGGCACGUCUGCCUGGGCGUCACGCAUCGCGUCGCCCCCCACAAUUCUCCGUAAAGGGAACAUGUGUUUUGGGGGCGGAUAUUGGUCUCCCGUGCUCAUGGCGUGGUUGGCCGAAAUAGGAGUCCUUUCGAUGGACGCACGAACUAGUGGUGGUCGUAAAAACCCUCGUCUUUUGUUUCGUGCCGUUAGUCGCGAGGGAAGCUCUUCAAAAACCCCAGCGCGUCGUCUCUUGACGGCGCUUCGACCGCGACCCCAGGUCAGGCGGGACUACCCGCUGAGUUUAAGCAUAUCAAUAAGCGGAGGA